AACAGCAUUAGAUCAAUCGGGAGCACAUGGAUCUCAAUUCCCACAGUUUAGCACACAUCAUGACAUAAGUGCAGAUUCGCUUGAUAUGAGAGCUGACUCCUUAGGUGACCCAAUGUGUUUACGCUCACCAGCUCCACAAGAUACACGUCGAGC